rnacentral:rRNA from 1 species
GAUGAACGCUGGCGGCGUGCCUAAUACAUGCAAGUCGAGCGAACAGAUAAGGAGCUUGCUCCUUUGACGUUAGCGGCGGACGGGUGAGUAACACGUGGGUAACCUACCUAUAAGACUGGAAUAACUCCGGGAAACCGGGGCUAAUGCCGGAUAACAUUUAGAACCGCAUGGUUCUAAAGUGAAAGAUGGUUUUGCUAUCACUUAUAGAUGGACCCGCGCCGUAUUAGCUAGUUGGUAAGGUAACGGCUUACCAAGGCAACGAUACGUAGCCGACCUGAGAGGGUGAUCGGCCACACUGGAACUGAGACACGUUCCAGACUCCUACGGGAGGCAGCAGUAGGGAAUCUUCCGCAAUGGGCGAAAGCCUGACGGAGCAACGCCGCGUGAGUGAUGAAGGUCUUCGGAUCGUAAAACUCUGUUAUUAGGGAAGAACAAAUGUGUAAGUAACUGUGCACGUCUUGACGGUACCUAAUCAGAAAGCCACGGCUAACUACGUG